GACGAACGCUGGCGGCGUGCUUAAUACAUGCAAGUCGAACGGACAGGCCCUGCGUUUGUGGGGUGCUCGAGUGGCGAAGGGGGGAGUAAAACGUGAGGAACAUGCACUUGAAAGUGGGAGAAAUUCAGGAGAAAGGGGCGAAUACAGGGUAGGAGAUCCUGCAGCGUGGGGGGGGUUGGAAAGUUUCGGCGGUUGUGGCUUGGUUCGUGGGUUAUCAGCUUGAUGGGGGGGUAGUGGGUUACCAAGGCUAUGACGGGUAGGAGGCCUGAGAGGGUGACGGGCCACACUGGGACUGACGGACGGCCCAGGCUCCUACGGGUGGCAGCAGUGGGGAAUCCUGCCCAAUGGGCGCCAGCCUGAUGCAGCAACGCCGCGUGUGGUAUAACGGCCUUCGGGUUGUAAACCGCUUUCGCCUGUGACGAAGCGCGUGUGACGGUAAUGGGUACAGAAGCCCCGGCUAACUACGUG
rnacentral:rRNA from 1 species